AGAAGAUGGAGAUAAAAGAUGGGAUGGCGGAUUCUGACAUGGAUGUAGAUGAUGAUCGUAAACCUAUACCAAGCAGAGUGAAAGAGAAGCUGUUGAAUCUGAUGCAAAGGACAAGGAUGGAGGACUGAAAGGAGUAAUGGAGCGUAUGAAAGGUUUUGAGAUGGGGGGUAUGGAGGAGAGUGGAAGCACCCACC